AUGUCGGCGCCAAUGCCUGGGCCGGAGGUGUUCGACGUCGUCAUCUUCGGGGCCUCAGGCUUCACCGGCAAGUACGUCAUCCGCGAGGCCCUCAAGUUCCUGCCCCCCAACGCCUCCCCGCUCCGGACCCUCGCGCUCGCCGGCCGCAGCCGGGAACGCGUCGCCGCUGCGCUCAGCUGGGCCGCCUCGCCGGGGCCCGUCCCGCACGUCCCCAUCCUCGUCGCCGAUGCCUCCGACCAAGCCUCUCUCGCCGUGGUCACCGCGCGGGCGCGCGUCCUGCUCUCCUGCGCGGGGCCCUUCCGCCUCCACGGCCGCCAGGUGGCCGCGGCCUGCGCGGAAGCAGGGACCCACUGCCUCGACAUCUCCGGCGAGCCUGAGUUCAUGGAGCGGGUCGAGGCCGACCUCCACGAGGUCGCCGCCAAGAACGGAUCGCUGAUUGUCUCCGCGUGCGGUUUUGCCUCCACCGUCGCGGACCUGGGGUUCUUGUUCCACUCCAGGCAGUGGACGCCACCGUCAGUGCCGGUGAGCGUGGUCGCGUAUGUCAACCUGGAGUCGUCGGACAGAAAGAUCGUCGGGAACUUCGCCACGUUUGAGUCGGCUGUUCUUGGUGUGGCCAACACCAGCCAGCUGCAAGCGCUGCGCCGGUCCCGGCCGAGGCCCGCGAAGACCAGUAUUCCGGGUCCUCCGCCUCCCAAAGGAUCGUUGAUGAUUGAGCAUGACAAGGCACUAGGAUUGUGGGCCAUGAAGUUACCUUCUGCUGACACAGUGGUUGUGAAGAGAACACUAGCAAAAGUGACAGAGCAUCCCGAGGGCCUUCCUUGUGCGGAUGAAACCUCAGAUUUUGAGAAGCAUAGGAAGGAAUUCUGGUCCUCUAUCAAACCUGCGCAUUUCGGAGUGAAGAUCGGAAGCCGUUCCAUCCUAGGCCUUGUGUGGUGCCUGUCUACUGCAAUUUUUGUUGGCAUUCUGGCGGGUUUCUCCUUCGGCAGGUCUCUCUUGCUUAAAUUCCCUGAGUUCUUCUCCCUCGGGUUUUUCAGAAAGACCGGACCAACAGAAGCGGAGGUCAGCAGCGCCUCGUUCAAAACAUGGUUCGUCGGCCGUGGCUACAUCGAUUCAGCCAACGCGUUAGAGUGUGGAAGCAAGCCAGACAAGGAGAUUGUCACCAGAGUUUCAGGCCCAGAGAUCGGGUACAUCACGACUUCGAUCGUCCUCGUCCAGUGCGCCCUCGUCCUGCUUAGCCAGCGAGCCAAUCUGCCGCAAGGCGGGGUGUACACGCCCGGCGUUGUCUUCGGGCCAACGGAUCUCCAGAAGCGCCUCGAGGAAAAUGGCCUGUCAUUCGACCUCAUCUCCACGAGGACCAUCCCUUAA
rnacentral:rRNA from 1 species